UACGAAGGGGGCUAGCGUUGCUCGGAAUCACUGGGCGUAAAGGGUGCGUAGGCGGGUCUUUAAGUCGAGGGGUGAAAUCCUGGAGCUCAACCUCCAGAACUGUCCUUUGAUACUGAGGAUCUUGAGUUCGGGAGAGGUGAGUGGAACUGCGAGUGUAGAGGUGAAAAUUCGUAGAUAUUCGCAAGAACACCAGUGGCGAAGGCGGCUCACUGGCCCGAUACUGACGCUGAGGCACGAAAGCGUGGGGAGCAAACAGGG
rnacentral:rRNA from 1 species